ACUUGGAACCGGGAGAGGUAAGAGGUACUACAGGGGUAGGAGUGAAAUCUUGUAAUCCCUGUGGGACCACCUGUGGCGAAGGCGUCUUACCAGAACGGGUUCGACGGUGAGGGACGAAAGCUGGGGGCACGAACCGGAUUAGAUACCCGGGUAGUCCCAGCCGUAAACGAUGCUCGCUAGGUGUCAGGCAUGGCGCGACCGUGUCUGGUGCCGCAGGGAAGCCGUGAAGCGAGCCACCUGGGAAGUACGGCCGCAAGGCUGAAACUUAAAGGAAUUGGCGGGGAGCACAACAACGGGUGGAAGCCUGCGGUUUAAUUGGACUCAACGCCGGACUAACUCACCGGGGGCGACAGCAAUAUGUAGGCCAAGCUGAAGACUUUGCCUGAAUCGCUGAGGAGUGGUGCAUGG
rnacentral:rRNA from 1 species